AGGAAGAUGCCUGAAUAAAGGAAUACCCUGAUAGGGUAUAAAAAGUAAUUAAAUAGAUUUACUCUUCUUG
rnacentral:tRNA from 1 species